rnacentral:rRNA from 1 species
UACGAAGGGGGCUAGCGUUGCUCGGAAUUACUGGGCGUAAAGGGCGCGUAGGCGGCACUGUUAGUCAGGCGUGAAAGUCCUGGGCUCAACCUGGGAACUGCGCUUGAUACGGCAGAGCUAGAGGAUGGAAGAGGGUCGCGGAAUUCCCAGUGUAGAGGUGAAAUUCGUAGAGCUCGGGAAGAACAUCGGUGGCGAAAGCGCUCUGCUGGACUGCAACUGACACUCAGGGACGAAAGCUAGGGGAGCGAAUGGG